AUUGAACGCUGGCGGCAGGCCUAACACAUGCAAGUCGAGCGGGGUUUUCGGACCUAGCGGCGGACGGGUGAGUAAUGCGUAGGAAGCUGCCCGAUAGAGGGGGAUACCAGUUGGAAACGACUGUUAAUACCGCAUAAUGUCUACGGACCAAAGUGUGGGACCUUCGGGCCACAUGCUAUCGGAUGCGCCUACGUGGGAUUAGCUAGUUGGUGAGGUAACGGCUCACCAAGGCGACGAUCUCUAGCUGGUUUGAGAGGAUGAUCAGCCACACUGGAACUGAGACACGGUCCAGACUCCUACGGGAGGCAGCAGUGGGGAAUAUUGGACAAUGGGCGCAAGCCUGAUCCAGCCAUACCGCGUGUGUGAAGAAGGCCUUCGGGUUGUAAAGCACUUUCAGCGAGGAGGAAGGGGUGUGUGUUAAUAGUACAGCAUUUUGACGUUACCUACAGAAGAAGCACCGGCUAACUCUGUGCCAGCCGCCGCGGUAACAC
rnacentral:rRNA from 1 species